rnacentral:tRNA from 1 species
GCCGCUGUAGCUCAACGGAAGAGCGCCGGCCCGUCACGCCGGAGGCCGCGGGGUCAGCACCCGCCAGUGGCGCCA